ACCGCAAAGUCUUCCGACAACGAGUGACGAUCGAAUCAUCCAUCCAUCCAUCCAUCCAUAUAUAUAUACAAAUCAGCAUGUCCUCAUGGACGCCACAAUCCAAAAAAAAAAAAAAACACCAAAGAAAAAAAUAAAACGCAGUUUCACUAGGAUCAUCCGUUAUAAUCCUAUGUCCGAUACCUGAAGCCUCUGGCAUGGAAAUCUGUGAGUUCUUCCUGUUCCUCCUCCCCCGAAGUUAGGUUAAUCUUAUUCGCCAUGCCGCUUUCAUUUUCCACCGCUGGCACACGCUCCUUCUCAUCGCGCUUCCGAUUAAGACAAUUUAGGUAAAACCUGAGCGCGAGUGCGCUUACCACUACUAGUGAGUAGCAAACGAGAAUAGCGCGGAAGGCCGUUGGGUAAUGGGGAGCCUCUGCUGAUAUGAAGAAUUGGGGACCCGCACUGGAGGAAUUUUGCUUAGCUAGUGAAAAGAGAGUUGGGAAAGGGAAAAGGGGGGGGGACACCAAUGGACCGAAGCUGGGGGGAUGUCCAAUGGCAGUUGCUAAGUUCGCUUCUCUUGUCUGGGCUUAUAACAAACACGGAGGAGGCACAAGACUCACAUAUUUCCAGCACAAUAGGCUACGAAUAAAAUAGCUGUCAUGGUCAUUUUCUUCGUUGAGCCCUUGUAGUUGACUGCUACCAGCGACAUGGCGAGGGGUAGUGCUGCUGGCCCUGGUGACAUGAGAUAGUAUCCAAAUAAUUUGACGCCCUUGCUGACGUUUGAGUAGAUAAUCGCACUCCCCGCGGCUGGGAAUGCAACGAUUCCGCAGAUAAGAUACGUCGCCACAUUGUGGUAUUUGCUACAGAACCAGCCGCUGUAUCCAGCAGUAUUAGACAGCGAUUUGCAAAGGAGGUUGGACAAGUGAGGAGAGGACAACAGGGAGAUGGCUAAGCUUACGUUAUGAGAACUGUGGAAAUGCACAGGACAGAUGCUGGGGUGAUAAUUAGAGUAGUUUCCAGGGGCGAAAAGCCAAAGCCCUUGAGGACCAGGUUGCCAAAGUUUUGGGUUCCACCGUUGGGUAUCUGUCACGCCAAAGAUUAAUAUUUCUCGAUUUUUUCUUUGAGAAGGAUGGCCAUGCGAGUUUUUGAAGUUCACAUACUUGGGUCAAGACCGAAAUACUAAGAAAUAGGAAGGUUUUAGGAUCCAUGAGGCAUUCGAUCACUUGUUCCCGUUUCCACUCGUGUCGGAUCUUUCCCGUGCCAGCAAACUCCACACGAUGCUCCGCAUAGAUCUUUUCUCUUUCAUUCAGGAAAUCGCAGGAAGCGAUUGUGUCUGGGAGGAGGAAAAGCAAGAAAAACCCCCAAAGGAAGGUAGCCACGCCGAGAACCUGGAAAGUAACGCAGUCAAUGACAGAGGUCUCUUUAUAUGGCCGAUGCCAAAAGCCAAGAAGUUUGAUAGCAGUCCACCGAGGGAGUUCCCCGCAAACCAUACUCCACAGCGCGCAGGAAUCUCCUCACGCGUCCACCACAUCGACGUGACAAAGACGAAUGCCGGCGAAAUUGUUGCCUCUGCAACCCCCAGUAGGAAACGGACACCCAUUAAUCCGCCGAAGUUUGAGCAAGCCGCGGUCAACGCGACAACGGCGCCCCAGAAAAACGUAUUCGCAGAUACAUACUUGCCCACAGGUAACUGUUGGAUCAGGAUAGAUGUGGGAAAAGUCCAGAACAGGUAUCCGAAGUAAAACACGCUGGAAAUCCAGCUGUACUGGGACCCGACAAGAUGCUAUUCCGUCAGUUAGAAGAGAGUGAACCAACGUUCAGGGGUAGAUAGCGCGGGGUCUAUGGCGAUGCUCACAGUGUCUUCCCGAAGCCCAAAAACCGAUGCGCUAGAUAGAAUGACCUUGUCCAUAAAGUUGAAAUUGUACGUCACAAAUAGCAGUGGGAGGAUGCGCCGGUCAAUUUUGCGAACCACAUCCUCUGCGAGCUGCAUUUCGGAACCGUGGCUACCACCACCCCGCACUGCUCCUCGUUCUAGGAGGGAGGGGUUAUCCUUUACCCAUGCCGUAGGAGCCGAAUCGGCUCUGGCACUGGCCAUGUUUUGCUGAGAAGUGGUUUCAAGAGGAGCUCAGAACCUCAUUUCGUGGAAGGUGUAUCUUGACAGGAAGUAACAGCAUUUCGUGUGGGAAAAAGCAGAGCAGGAAGAAAGUUGCGCGCAGGACAGCCUUAAAAAAGCACCUAGAACAAAGAAUACAACAAACAAACACCGUUACACCUGAGAUGUGCGUGGUAUUUAGGGAAAACAAGGUCGAGCGUCUCUGCUGCAGGUAUCCACGGUUGUGAAAGGAGCAUCCCUUGCAAGCGCGGAUUUAUGUCAAGACUAAAGCCGGUGGAUCGCGGGUGCGGUCCGGCGGUGGUGUUGGAGCAGCAGGCUCAAGUUGGUUGGGCGUCGUGUCUCAUGUCUGACGGCGGGAUAUUGGGUGUCACAAACCGUGCAGAUCGUCUGCAUUGUGGAGGCCAAAUCUGCAGGCCUGGGUGCGGUUGAAAAGAUCCCGUCCGCCAGCCAUCGGGGACUUUGUGAAUCCGAACCAGGAGGUGUUGUAGACAAAAUCAGGAUCGCGGGGCGGGGUGCCACUUGCAAUAGUCAAAUGAUGUUUACAGCUUUAUAUAGCGAGGAAUCUGCUGCUAGCUACUGCAUGGCUCUGGUUAAGUUGUAUGUCUGGAUUACAUACGAAAUAUGGGCUAUUCUGAUGCAGUGAUACUCUUCACCCUUUGUUGGGCUCAAAUGGCAAACGUGAUGGUUGUCGAGCUUACUAGUCCAAGCGCUAACAUGCUGAUGGGCGUCUAUGGCGUAUUUAGUCAAAUAUUGAUGGUUAUGCUUCAAGCGCCACUGUCACAGGAGGUCCCAAAUGAGAGGAGAUCAGAUUCGCCAACAUAGAAUAUUUCCUGGAAUCGAUAUAAAAAUAUCUAGUUGGGGGCUGAAACUGGCCAACACAAACAAAAUGAUGUUUAAAACCUCUCAUAAAGCCCUUGCUAUACUCCAGCGGCAUGCCAGUAUAUGCUUGUCUGUAUCUCUUUCUAAUUUUCAGAAAGAGAAAAUAAUGAACCCAAAUGAUGUCAGAAAAGAGAAUGG
rnacentral:sRNA from 1 species